UGGAUGUGCCCAGAGGGCGCCCUUCCUUCAGAGGCCUCGUUUGCCCGACACUUACGACAGGCCUUAGGACGUAAGGCGUGGACGUGCGUGACGUCACCCUCUGGCCUGCGAGAUGACGAGGGCGAGUAGCGGGGCCGCUGCUCCCUCGGGAUCCGGGUGUGGCUCGGCUCAGGUAACACCCGGCCCUGAGGACUCCUUCGGCCUCCGCCCACGGGGAGUGCUGAGACCGCCGGCCCGUGUGCUGGCGACCUUUACCCAGGCUUGGUCAAGGCUUCCUGGCUGGCGCAACUGCACGGGCCUCGCAGUGGACGCCUGCUGGUGACCUUUACUCUGUUAAACCGUCUUCCUGCUCUCCCAGUGAGAGCCUCAAAACUGGGGAAGUGAAUAGAUGAACUGGGAGAUGUCUGACUCGACUUAGAAUUUCCGAAGCGUGCACACUAUGGCUGAGUUUCAGACUGAAAAACCAGAGAAAACAGGUAGAAGUUACAAGAAAGAAAAAGUCUUUUUAGAAACACCACAAAGAAAAUGAUCAUCAAUCAUUUUCAAAAUGAUCAUCGAUCAUUCCAAAAGUAGAAUGGAUUGCCUGUGUGGAAGGUUUUUGUUUUAUGAGUGUGUGUAUAUGCAUGACUAUAUGUAUGGUACACGUGUGUGCAGUUGCCCUAGGAGGCCAGGAGAGGGCACUGUAUCUUCAGGAACUGGAAUUACUGGUGGUUACAAGCUGCCUAAUGUAGGAUAUGGGAGCCAGACUCACAUCUUGAGAACCAAACUUGCGUCCUUAGGAAGAACAGCAAGUGCUCUUAACAGAUGAAGUAUCUUUCCAGGCCUACUUUGGAAGUGUUUAAACUGAGAUGAGGUGGCUUUCUGUCCAUUUCCCUAAGAAUAAAGAAACAAGUUUGUGUGUGUGAGAAUAAAGAAACAAGUUUGUGUGUGUGUUUCUACUCAUUCUAUUGUGAAGCCACAAGUUGACAUUAAACAUCUUCCUUGACC
rnacentral:lncRNA from 1 species